rnacentral:rRNA from 1 species
GACAGAGGGUGCAAACGUUGUUCGGAAUUACUGGGCGUAAAGCGCGUGUAGGCGGCUUGGUAAGUCAGGUGUGAAAGCCCUCGGCUCAACCGGGGAAGUGCACUUGAAACUACCGAGCUAGAGUCCCGGAGAGGAUGGUGGAAUUCUCGGUGUAGAGGUGAAAUUCGUAGAUAUCGAGAGGAACACCGGUGGCGAAGGCGGCCAUCUGGACGGUGACUGACGCUGAGACGCGAAAGCGUGGGGAGCAAACAGGAUUAGAAACCCCAGUAGUCC